rnacentral:rRNA from 1 species
ACUCAAAGGAAUUGACGGGGGCCCGCACAAGCGGUGGAUCAUGUGGUUUAAUUCGAAGCAACGCGAAGAACCUUACCUAGAUUUGACAUCCUCUGAAGUUAGUAGAGAUAUUAACGGCUCGCAAGAGACAGAGAGACAGGUGCUGCAUGGCUGUCGUCAGCUCGUGUUGUGAAAUGUUGGGUUAAGUCCCGCAACGAGCGCAACCCCUGCCUUUGGUUGCCAUCAUUAAGUUGGGCACUCCAGAGGGACUGCCGUCGUCAAGACGGAGGAAGGUGGGGACGACGUCAAGUCCUCAUGGCCUUUAUAUCUAGGGCGACACACGUGAUACAAUGGUAGGUACAGAGGGUCGCGAAGUGGUAACACGGAGCUAAUCUCAAAAAGCCUAUCUCAGUUCGGAUUGGAGUCUGCAACUCGACUCCAUGAAGUUGGAAUCGCUAGUAAUCGCGGAUCAGCACGCCGCGGUGAAUACGUUCCCGGGCCUUGUACACACCGCCCGU